UUCUCAAGGGUAUUGGACCAAGGGUAUUAUGGGUAGGUGUUGGAGGUGCAAUCUUCUUUGGUGUCCUUGAAAAGACAAAGCAGAUACUUGCUCAAAGAUGCCCAGGUCCUCCAAUGCAAUCAGUCUCUUUCAAGCAAGAUUAACUUUUGCUGACUACCAGUUCAAUCUUCUACCAGCCACCAUCUGCCAUUUGAUAGUUUCCUUCAGCUAAUAGAGAAUUAGACCAUUGCAGAAACUUGG
rnacentral:misc_RNA from 1 species